GCAAGGGGGGAAAGAGAGAAAUCAAUUAGAAGCAGAAGGUGCUCCGCAGCCGGGCCGGCAGCGCUGCGGGGGCCGGGGCCCGGCUUUGGCGCUGCCAGCGCCGCCUCACGGAUCCCCUCAGGGCCGUCCCCAGAGGCGAGGUCGGGCAGAAAACGCGGCCAAACAGUGCCCGGUGCUCAAGGGUGUCUGGGCAGAGAGCGAGCAGGCUGGAAUCCCCUCCAGCAACACGGGGCUGCAUCCCACCGGGAGCCUCCAGCUCCUCCCGUGCCAACACCUCCCGUGGCGGAGCAGCCCGGCCUGCCCCGGCCGCGGCUCCCUCUCCGGGGCACCCCCGGGCGCGCUGGCCCUGCCCCGCCUCGCCUCUGCAGAGCUGUUUAACGCGGCUGCAAAGGGACACGGCCCUUCACGGCAGGCUCCCUUUUUGAGUGAAGGAGUGAGCGCGGAGCAGUGCCUCGGCUCACGGGGGCACACGGCUCCAUCGCCGCCUCCUCCCCCGCUCGGCGUCCCGGCAGAGCCGAGCACCAUCGUGCCCUGAGCACACAGCGACGUGCGACCGGCCAUGGAGAGCGCUCCAGGUAGCGGCGACAGAAACAGCUGGCACUUUUCAGUAUAAAUACACCAGUGUAAGGAUCUUCUCCAAAGCAAUGUGUGGUUGCAGCAAUUUUUUAUAAAAAUACAUCCCCACAAAAAACUGAAGAGCUAACUAAGACUGGACAGUUAAUUGAAAGAACAACUGUUACACAGGAAGAGAAAAAAACUGAAUGCAAGAUAAAAAAAAAGGAACAAUAAGACAAGCUGCUGACUGGCUUACAGAAGUCUAAGGGAUGCCUUAGUUGUUGCAGAUUGUGCAGAGAAAACACAAAGCAGAUUGCUAAACCAGCAGGAGGUAGGAGUAUACUGCAUGAUGAAAUUCUUCUUCAUUCUCUCCUUAGCCCAGCUUUCAUGAGUUCUGGAGCAAACCUUUCCCUCCAGUGGCCUGCAUGUCCAGGGUUGAACAUCAAGACAUCACCUCUCACCUACUUCCCCUACCUCAGUAUUUUUCAGAAGCACAACAUGGAAUUGUGAGGAAAUAAAAAAUUCUUCUCCCUUGGAGAAGAUCACAAACUGUAAUACAGUGAAUUUCCAUCCUACUAAUACCCACAUUUUCUUUCAACCCAAGGCUCUCUUGUCACCUUUCACUUUAGCUGUCAUUUUUAAUUAAACUUUUCACAAAGAUUUUUUUCUUUUGGCUUUUGAAUAAAAGAUGAAAACAGUUCAAUAUCUGAAAAGACAUCUAGCCAGUACACGCAAGGCUUUUCUCCUGUUCACAGCAGUCUUUAAAUUGGUACUUUAUGAUACAUACUAUGCUGCAUUAAGUACCCUUGUUAUGGAUUCAGAAUUAAAAGCCUCUCAAAACCCAGAAGUGGAAGCUCUCUAGUCUUGAGAAUAAUUAAAUUUGGUAGUUCAGCAAAGGUUAAACAAGACAGCUGAGACACUUACUGUGUGAUCAGUUUUUCAUACAAACUACCUGUUCCUGCUUCUUAUGCUCCACAACCAAAUUCAGGAUAUUCAAGCGAGCUGCAUGUUUGUUUGCUUC